GUAUCCUGCCUUCUCAGUGCAAUGCCCGGCACCUAGGCCGAGUUCACGUGCGGGUUGUCGCGUUUCCAAUACCCCUGACGUUGUCUUCUCAGUGGUCGUUGGGUCUAGAAGUCACUCCUCUGGAGGUGAUAGACUAGGAGAAGCCGCCAGCCAGCAGCAUCACUGGCUGGCUGGGAGUUCCACCUCUUCCUUCCUUAAGACCUCAGUAAAUGGACAGCCACAGAUGUGCCUUUCAGAUCAUGUUUUAAAACCUUCCCCGUCUGGCGUUGGGAACGCAGCCGCGGCUUGGUGGUGGAUAGCAAGAGGCAAAGGCUCGGGGGAUGGAUGUGAAUCAGUCAGACCAGCUUCCUUCUCCUGGGACGGGGCUCAGUGUUUUCUGACCGGCUUGCAAGGGCCCGAGCUCCAGUUGAUGAAGUCACAUGGUUCCAGGGGCAGCAGCUGUUUCCCUGAAUACGAGGAUGGUGCUUUGAGACCAACCAGAAGUGAACUGUUUGUACAGAUUGAUGCUGCUGAAAUGCAAAGUGGAAACAUGUCAGGGGAAACAUGCACCCUGUCACCCCAGGAGAGAUGGCUCGGUGGUGAAUCAGACCCACAGGACAGUGGGGAACGCCAGGUGGGAGAGAAAAGCACAUGCCUGUAUACCCUGCUGUGGAAAGAACCAGAAAAGCUGAAAGAAAACCUGUGAGGCCAGAAGCUGGGAUGUGGGAAGGCUCGAGAAGGGUGCAGGAGUCUCCAGGAACCAAACUGGUGUCAUGUGGAGGAGGCCAUGUGGCAGAGAUCCGUGGUGGCCUCUGGUUGCUGAGGGCCUCCGUCCCACAACUGCAAGGAACUAGGUUCUGCCAACACCCAGCAAGCCUGGGAGAGGAUGCCAGACUCCAGGGAGAUCACAGACCUGGCAACACCUUGAUCGUGGCUGUUGAAUCUCUGAGCAGAGGACAGAGCUGAGCCAUGCCUCUGUCCCACAGAAACGGUGAGAUCAUAAAUGGGCAUUGCUUUAUUCUGCUCUGCUGUUUAAACAUUUAUUUUUAUUUUUAAACGUUUUAUUGACAUAUAGUUGAUUUAUUAGAUUGUGAUCAUUUCUGCUAUACAAAAAGAGUGAUUUAAUUAUACAUGUACACACGUCCCUUCCCUUUCAGUUUCUUUUUCCACGUAGAUGACUAUAGAACAUUGGGUAGGAGUCUCUGUGCCAUACAGCAGGUCCCCGUUGGCCUGUCAUUCCAUAUAUCUUAGUGGACACACGCUAAUUCCCCAUCCCCAGUCUGUCCCUGCCUCCCCCCACCCUGUCCCUGUUGGUAAACCCUAAGUUUUUCAAACUCUAUGAGUCUGCUUCCGUUCUGCAAAUAAGUUCGAGAAGAUGUGAUACCUAUACACAAUGGAAUAUUGCUCAGCCAUACAAAAGCAUGAAUUAACACCAUUUGCAGCAACAUGGAUGGACCUAGAAAUUGUCAUACCAAGUGAAAUUCGGCAGUGAAAGACAAACAUCUUAUGAUAUCACUUAUAUGUGGAAUCUAAAAAAAGGACACAAAUGAAUUUACUCGGCUCUGUUGGUGGUCAUUUGUUUUGCAGCAAUAGACCGUUUACAUGGUCAGGGGCACUUUGCUGGUCAUUACUGUGUCCCCAUACCAGGCACAGGGCCUGUUGCAAGCAGAUAUUCGAUACAGGAUGUGUGGAGAAUGAGUAAGUGGAUGAAUGGAUGACAGCCAGCCAGGAACGCGUGGGAGCACUGCCCAACCAUGGGGUGUCGUGUGUGUCCUAGCCAGCUGUGGGGUCCCAGCUGCCUGCGAGCUCGGGGAGAGAGACCCUGGGGUGGGAUUCCUAAUAGAUACGGAUGUAACCGGAAGUCGCAUUUGGGUCCUGAAUGAGGGUCUGCAGCAGGCGUGACUUUCUCUGCGUUGGGAUUUAAAAGAUGCUCUGCUUCCCAAGCAUAUCACAAGAGGACCCCCCAGACGGACUUAGGGCUCUAGAGUUCCCUGAGCCCUAAGUGGUGGUGAAGGGCACUUUUGGACUCAAGGCUGUGGGGCUUGGGGGUGGGGGCGGGCCCCAGUGGCGCUGGAGUUGUUGGGCAGGGCUUGGCCUGCUGGCGGGAGCCCUGAGGAUGGGCAGUGGGUACCGAUCUUGAUUUUGCCAAGAGCUGGGGAAAAUCUUCUGGUGGUUCCCCGUUGCCCUGGAAUAAAACCCGACCCCUUCCACAUAUGUGUCAGGCCCAACCUGCUCUGGCCUGGCCUUUGGUUCUGGCCUCAGCUUGUGUCACUGGCCCCUUCUCUCACUCAGCACUGGGAUGCUGGCCAUCUCUCCGUCCCCUGGCCUGUCACGCACCAACCUGCCUGGCUCUUCCUUCUGCCUGGGUGCUUCCUUCCAGCUCUUCUGCCCCUUGUCCCUCACCUCCCCAGAGGUGUCUUCUGGGCUUCUUAGGUCUGGAGAGAUCCCAGCAUACUUCCCCACCCCCUGGUCACUCUGUCACAUCACCUGCUUUGUCCCUGCAUGGCACUUAUCACCAACUGAAGGGACAGGCUUACUCACAUACACUCUUGCUUAUUGCCUGUCACAGAUGCCAGAACUUGAGCUGUGAGCUUGUUUGCUCACUGCUGUAUCUCCAGCAAUUAAAAAAAAAAAAAAAA
rnacentral:lncRNA from 1 species